rnacentral:rRNA from 1 species
AAGAACUUUGAAAAGAGAGUUAAACAGUACCUGAAAUUGCUGAAAUGGAACCGAUGGGAAGCAGUGUUGGCUUGUUGGUACUUGUACCCGUGAGCAAGUCAGGCUUCCUUAGUUGCGUGGGAAAGGCUUCUAGACCUGUAUGGGCUGGUUUUGCUGUCAUGCGACUGAGGGACUCUGACGAAAUGCUUCUUAUCAACCCGUCUUGGAACACGGACCAAGGAGUCUAACAUGUAUGCGAGUUGGUGGGUGGAAAACCCAUGAAGCGCAAGUAACCUGACUGGUGGGAUGGCCUGUGCCUGCACCAUCGACCGACCAUGAGCUUCUGCGAAAGGUUUGAGUGCGAGCAUACCUGUUGGGACCCGAAAGAUGGUGAACUAUGCCUGAGCAGGGUGAAGCCAGAGGAAACUCUGGUGGAGGCUCGUAGAUGUGCUGACGUGCAAAUCGCUUUUCGGACUUGGGUAUAGGGGCGAAAGACUAAUCGAACCAUCUAGUAGCUGGUUCCUCCCGAAAUUUCCCUUAGGAUAGCUGCAACCGAACAGUUUUAUCAGGUAAAGCUAAUGAUUAGAGGCAUCAGGGGUGGAACGUCCUUGACCUAUUCUCAAACUUUAAAUGGGUAAGAGCCCUGGGUUGCUUAAUUGAACCCGGCGGUUGAAUGACGGUUGCUAGUGGGCCAAUCUGGGUAAGCUAGAUUGGCGAUGCGGGAUGAACCGAACGUUUAGUUAAAGUGCCAAAGUAUCCGCUAACCUAGAUCCCACAAAAGGUGUUGGUUCAUUAAGACAGCAGGACGGUGGCCAUGGAAGUCGGAACCCGC